rnacentral:rRNA from 1 species
AGCGAACGCUGGCGGCAGGCUUAACACAUGCAAGUCGAACGGGCGUAGCAAUACGUCAGUGGCAGACGGGUGAGUAACGCGUGGGAACAUACCUCUUGGUUCGGAACAACACAGGGAAACUUGUGCUAAUACCGGAUAAGCCCUUACGGGGAAAGAUUUAUCGCCGAGAGAUUGGCCCGCGUCUGAUUAGCUAGUUGGUAGGGUAAUGGCCUACCAAGGCGACGAUCAGUAGCUGGUCUGAGAGGAUGAUCAGCCACAUUGGGACUGAGACACGGCCCAAACUCCUACGGGAGCAGCAGGUGGGAAUAUUGGACAAUGGGCGCAAGCCUGAUCCAGCCAUGCCGCGUGAGUGAUGGAAGGCCCUAGGGUUGUAAAGCUCUUUUGUACGGGAAGAUAAUGACGGUAC